AAAAUUUGCCAUAAGCCAGCUUCUUUCAACUUUGUUCUACAGAGCACCUUUCUAAAAGGUGUUACCAGACAGUGUGUCUCCUUGCUGCCACCUUCACCAAUCCUCUUGGCACACCAUUAAUGUCAAUCAGUGUUGUUGGUUGAAUUGUAUCCCCACAAAAGACAUGUUGAAGUCCUAACCCCCAGUACCUGUGAACUUGACCUUAUUUGGAAAAAGGCUUUUGCAGAUGUAAUCAAGUCAAGAUGAGGUCUUAUUGGAUCAUGGUGGGCCCUAAAUCCACUGAUCAAUGUCCUUAUAAAAAGAGAUAUUUGGAGACACACAGACACACAGGGACAAAGGCCGUGUGAAGAUGGAGGCAGAGAUUGGAGUUACACUGCUGCAAAUCCAGGAACGCCAAGGAUUGCCAGCAACCACCAGAAACUAGAAGAAGCAAGAAAUAAUUUUUCCAUAGAGCCUUCAGAGGGAGCAUGGCCCUGCUGACACCUUGAUUUUGGACUUCUAGCUGCUGGCACUGUGAGAGAAUAAAUUUCUGUUGUUUUAAAUUGCCCAGCUUAUUAUAUUAUACUUCAUUACAGCCAAUCCAGGAAACUAACACAAUCAGGAAAAGCUGAAACUUAUUGAUUACUGACUUAAACAGUCCUCUUCCUAUUUAAAGUCUAUUCACCGUUUGGGAUACUAAUUACAGACUUACCUAUUUCUCCUAUUCUGAGCCCCCAGUUGAUUGGUCACUCAGAAAUGAUUGAAGGGAGGUAGAGCAAGAUGGCUGGAUAGAAGCUGCCACCAAUUGUCCUCUCCACAGGGACACCAAAUUGAACACAUAUCCACAUAAAAACACCUUCAUAAGAACCAAAAUUUAGGUGAGAGAUUACAGUACCUGGGUUGAACUUCGUAUAACUGAAAGAGGCACCCAGUGCUGCCCUGUCACAGCAGAAAGCAACACCAGGCAGAACUCAGCCAGUGCCCAUGGAGGGAGCAUCUAGACUAGCCUUAGCCAGAGGAGAAUCAGCCAUCCUAGCAGUCGAAACCUGAGUUCCAGCAAGCCUUGAUGCUGUGAGUUAAAAUGCUCUGGGGUUCUAAAUAAACCUGAAAAACAGCCUAGGCCACAAGAACUGCAAUUCCUGGGCAAGUCAAGGUGCUAUGAUAGGCUCAGAGCCAGUGGAUUUGCGGAGCAUGUAACGUAGUGAGACACCAGCCAGGGUAUCCAAGGGAGUGCUUGAGCUGCCCCUCUCUGAACCCCGGGCAGAGCAGCUCACAGCUUCAGAAGAGACUCCUUCCUUCUGCUUAAGAAGAGAAGGAAGACUAAAUAGGACUUUGUCUUGCAACUUGCAUACCAACUCAACCACAGCAGUAUAGAGUACUAGGCAGAGUCCUGAGGCUCCCAUUCCAGGCCCUAGUACCCAGACAUUUCUAGAUACAGCUUGGGCAAGAAGGGAUCCUAUUGCCUUGAAGGGAAGCAGCUAGUCCUGGCAAGAUUUAUCACCUGCUGAACAAAGAGCCCUUGGGUGCUGAAUAGUCAGCAACAGUACCCAGGCAGUACUCACCAUGAGCGUUGGGUGAGACUCAGAGCUGCGCUUACUUCAGAUGAGACUUGGCACAUUCCCAGGUGUGGUGAUUAUGAGGGACUGCUUCUGCUUGAGAAAAGGAGAGAUAAAAGUAAAGGGGAUUUUGUCUUGCAGCCUAGGUACCACAUCAGCUACAGUGGGGUAGAGGAUCAAGUGGACUUUUGGUGUCCCUGAUUCCAGGCCUUGGCUCUUGGAUGACAUUUCUAGACCUGCCCUGGGGCAGAGGAAAGCCCACUUCCCUGAAAAGAGAGUCCCAGGCCUGGAAGCACUCACGACAAACUGACUGAGGACUCCUUGGGCCUUGAGUGAACAUCGGUGGUAGCCAGGCAGUACUCGCCACAAGCCUGGGGUGGUAGUGGCCAUGGAGGGAGACUGCUCUGGUUGUGGAAAAGGGAGAGAAGAGUGAGAAGAACUUUGUUUUCCUGCUUGGGUGCCAGCUCAGCUGCAGUGGAAGAGAGUACCAGUUAGAUUUCUAUGGCUUCUAACUCCAGUUCCUGGCUCCCAAACAGCAUCUAUGGACCCACCCAGGACUGGGGAACUCAUAACCCUGAACAGAAAGACACAAGCCUGACUGGCUUAAUCAUCUGCUGAUUGUAGAGCCCUUG
rnacentral:lncRNA from 10 species